rnacentral:rRNA from 1 species
ACGCUCAACACCUACGGGAGGCAGCAGUGAGGAAUAUUGGUCAAUGGGCGCUAGCCUGAACCAGCCAAGUAGCGUGAAGGAUGAAGGCUCUAUGGGUCGUAAACUUCUUUUAUAUAAGAAUAAAGUGCAGUAUGUAUACUGUUUUGUAUGUAUUAUAUGAAUAAGGAUCGGCUAACUCCGUGUCAGCAGCCGCGGUAAUCUGAGCGGGCUGGCAAGGC